UUCUACUUAACUUUCGUAACGGACUCUCCUUUGCUGCUUCUUUCUUGUCUCUUAUGGCGUUGUUCUUGUUCGUCUGGUCUUGUCUAACUUCUCUUCUAUAUCUAACUUGUCUAACUUCUUCCUCGUCCCUGAGUACUGCCCGAGAGGCAGUAGGUUCGCUGUUCAGUUCUCUUGGUAAUGACUGUUGGAUGGCGCUGAACGUCUCUCUUUUUCUCUUGUAAAUGAUCUGUGUAAAAGUUAUAUUUUCUGAGGUCAUUAUUUUCAGACGCUUCCGCCUCUCACUUCAAUUUCCAAAAGUCACAAAGGAGAAUAUUCGGGCUCUCAUGAGUGUUUUUAAGGUUCAUGGUACAGAAGCCUUGUCAAACUAUCAGUAGGCUCAUAAAACUACCCAUGGAAAUGCCCACAGCCUCUACGAAAGCCUUAUCAAAUGUGGGUGUUUGAGAGUAUGGGCCUACUGUAGUUCUCUGGUUAAUGAUAUCUGGAUGACGUUUGACUUCUCUCUCCCUCUCUUGCAUAUAUGAUCAGUUUAUGAGUGAUACUGUCGAAGGGUUACUCGUCUACUUUCACCUCUUCAUGCUUCAUUCACCUAGCUAAUCCUACUUCCUCCUUAAUCAAAUCCAUUUUUUAUCUCUCUCUCUCUCUCCAUGGUGUUGAAUAUUCACUGUCACUCUUGUACUGGUUCUGGUUCAACAAUUUCUUUACGGUGAGGGACCCAGCUAAAGGGCAACAGCAACACAACAAAAUGACUGCUAAGAUAUUGACGCUACUUACUUAUCUUGUUGGCUUCACACCCCACUUGAACGCGUGCUUUCUUAUCUUAUUUUGUGAAGCGCUGAAGUCUUCCGCUAAUGACUUAUCUUGUAGUGAAGCAAUGCAGUUUUUUUUUUGGAUAACCUAUUUGAUCUUGUAGAAUGAAGCGAUGCAUUUUUUUUUUUUUUUUGAGAAGCGCUGCAGUCUUAACGCUAAUAUCUUACCUAGUGAAGCGCUAUUAGUCUAACGCCAAUGAUUAUCUUAUUUCGUCAAGUGUGGCAGUUUUACGUUAAUAUCUAUCUUAUCUCGUAAUGGAGCGAUGGAGUUUCUGGCGGAUGACUAACUUAUUUUGUGAAGCGCUGCAGUCUUACGCUAAUGACUAUCUUGUCUUAUGAAGCGCUGCAGUUUUACGCUAAUGACUAUCUUGUCUUAUGAAGCGCUGCAGUUUUACGUUAAUGACUAUCUUAUCUUGUGAAGCGAUGGAGUAUUACUAAUGAUUCUUUUUAGGAGCAGCGAGUAGCGGUUUUUUUUUUUAUCAUUGUUUCCUUUUUUGUGCCCUUGAGCUGUCUCCUUUGUUGUAAAAAAAAAAAAUAAUAAUGGCUAUCUGAUCUCGUAAUAAAGCAGUGCAGUUUUACGUUAAUGACUAUCUUAUCUUGUGAGGCGCUGCAGUCUUAACGCUAAUACUGUUUCUUAUCUUGUGAAGCGCUGCGGUUUUAAGCUAAUGACUAUCUUAUCUUGUGGAGCACUGCAAUCAUAUACUAAUGAAUAUUUGAUCAAACGACUCUUUUUUUAAUCAUUUCGACUUCACGCUGGCGGUAAAUAGAACGAUAAAUCCGUCCAUCCAUUAAAGUUACUGAUUUUCCACUUUUAUUAUGCGUGCAGAACCCUGAUACAACAACACUUUUUCGGUCAUCUUCUUUUUAUCAGCGCGCCAUUUCUUGUCGUUUUUCUUCUGUUUCUCCUUCGCAUGUCUUUGUUUCCUACACGUCUUCACUUCUCCCUUUCCCGCUACUUAUGUUUCCUUUAUUAUCUUUUACUUCUUUUACUUCCUUCCGUAUGUAUCUCUUUUAUCGUUCAUUAUCUCCUUUGCACGUCUCUCCCCUUCAGUCAUCGUCUUUCCCUUUCAGUCAUCGUCUCUCCCCUUCACGCAUCGUCUCUCCCCUUCAGUCAUCGUCUCUCCCCUUCAGUCAUCGUCUCUCCCCUUCAGUCAUCGUCUCUCCCCUUCCGUCAUCGUCUCUCCCCUUCACGCAUCGUCUCUCCCCUUCACGCAUCGUCUCUCCCCUUCAGUCAUCGUCUCUCCCCUUCAGUCUCUCGUUUCGCUCACUGUCUCCUUUGUACAACCCUUUUUUCUAGCUCAUUGCCUCUUGCUUACGUCUUUUCUUCAUCUAUCGACCUUUCAUUACGUUGCUUCUUUUUUCCUUCAGUGUCUUCGUUCUGCACCUUUUAUUCCGGGAGUUGUCUUCUAUAUCGCUUUUCCUUCCGCGUUCUGUUUUAACAUCUUCUAUUUUUGUCUAUUUUAUCUUUACACCAAAGGAGACGGCACAAGGGCACAAAAAAAAGGAAGCUAUGAAAAAAAGCCCGCUACUCGCUGCUCCUGUAUUUGUUUUUCCUCACAUUUUUUCCUUCCUUAUCGCCUUCCUGUGUUGUCUAUUUUUGCUCCACUGCUUCCAUCAUACGUUGUUGUUUUGCUUGUUCUCCAUUAUUAUUAUUUUGUCCAUCGCUCAUUUUUCUCGCCCAUUAUUUCGUUUAUUACUUCAUUUUCUACUCCAGUCACUUAGGUCGAUAUAAUAAGACACUUUCUCUUAUCACAUCAGCUAUUUCUAAAGGUCAAAGAGGGGGUCAGUCGGGUUCUAAUGAGUGUUUUCUCAGGUUCAUGGUACAGCAGAAUUGUCAAAGUACCACCAAGGUCACAAAACUACUCCUGGAAAUGCCCACAACUCCUACGAAAGCCUUGUCAAAUAGGUGUUUUUGGGUGACGAAAUGUCUUACAAUACGACCCUUAUACUCCACAAGCUGCAUGGUAUAAAUUUACUCCUUCAUCGUUCUUUCCUCUUCUACUUAAAAAGCCGAGCACAGGUACGACAUUAUUUUAUGGUGUGUGAAAUUGUCUGUGAAAAUUGUCUAAUGCAUUUUGCUACGCUAUAAGUGACAACGACCUCCUGUCAAGACGCUAAAUGGGUGAGGCGCUUUUUCUUUCUGUCUCUCUCUGUGUCUCCUCAUACAAACCCCAGUCACGCUCUCAGUAUUGGUCUCCCCUGUCAUGUGUUGGUAUUUAUAGUGAGAGAUAUGUAUGUGUGCCGUCUCUUUCAAUUUGCGUUUAGAGAAGGAGAGAUAGACAAAACUCACACACACAGACAUACAAACACACACACACACACACACACACACACACACACAACACAUCACUCACAGCGACACGGCACUUGCAACAUCAGACCUCGAUAACAAUAGUAUUUCUUUGAUUCAUCGAAAGAAAAAGAAAAAAAGGUAAGAAUACGCAAUACUUUACAUCCAGAAACAUCAAAAUACAACCGGCAGGGACUUCAGAAACAGCAAUACACAACACAUCACACGCAGAAGAAACUCAACACUAACAUCGGAACCAUAACAGCAGCAGUAACAUCAGGAAUAGAAACACACAUCACAUCACACACAGCAGCAACACAACACGGCACUAGCCUCGGCAUCACAACAGCAGCAGUAACAUCAGGAAUAAACACACAGCACAUCACACAGCAGCAACACAACACGGCACUAACAUCGGAACCACAACAGCAGCAGUAACAUCAGGAAUAAACACACAGCACAUCACACACAGCAGCAACACAACACGGCACUAGCCUCGGAACCACAACAGCAGCAGUAACAUCAGGAAUAAACACACAGCACAUCACACACAGCAGCAACACAACACGGCACUAGCCUCGGAACCACAACAGCAGCAGUAACAUCAGGAAUAGAAACACACAACACAAACACAACACAAGACUAACAUCAACAGAACCACAACAUCAGCAGCAACAUCGGGAACAGCUAUAUGAAUUACAUUUUCUUUCAUUCCCUCUGAAGAAAAGGGGUAAGAAGAUAACCUGUUCAACGACUUAUUCAAUCUCACCUUCUCGACGCAACGCGAACUGUAUCACGGCAACAACGUCAACACCAACAAUGUCAGCAACAGCGAGACAAACAUAUAUGACGCAACCUUCCCCUUAAAAAUUGCAAAAAGAUAAAAAACGAAAAAAAGUUCAUUAUUUUGAUCUAACUUUUUCGGCUGUACACCCAGACGCAAUGAAACAACCAUUAACAUCAUGAAUAAUAACUUGAGAAAAUCUUUAUAUAACUUCCUUUAAGAGGAAAAGUUAAACACAUGACUUUUCCUUAUUCUAUCUUACUUCCUCGCGUCUAUAUAAUCACACGCAACGCAGGGAACGUCAGUCAACUUCAAAAUCAUCGCCAAUAUCAACAUCGUCGAUAACAUCAGCAAUAGCACCUGCAAAUCUUUCUCCCUUAUUACCCUUAAGAUAGAAAAAGCGAAUAAUAUAAAAACCCGCUCAUUAAUCUUUCCUCUGGCGUUAACACCUCCAGGCGUUACACAAAUAGCAACAUCAUUAAGAAAAACAUCAGUGAAACUUUCUCUCGCCACCUUAACGAAAGAGAAAGGUAAAAACUAGAUCCAUUUAUUAUUUCAUCUUAUAGCCUCGCUUCCACACCCCUAACGCAGCAAGAAAAGCAGUACCGGCAGCAAAACCAGCCAUGAUAAGCACAGUCAACCUCUAUCUCACUUCUCCCAAAGAAAGAGAACAAAAAGAAGCAGAGCAAGUUCUUGUUUAAUUUAAUUUCUUCGCGUCUACACCUAAACGUUAGGCAAACAUUACCAUCACCAACGCCAACAAAAAUUAACUAAACUUUUCUUUCCCUUCCCUUAAAAGAAAAAUAUUUUAAUAAAGGAAAAAAAUACUUCCUUAUUUAAUCUUACUUCGUCUCAUACCCUUAAAAAGUAAAGCAAGAAAAAAAAAUAUAUUCCUUAUUUUCUCUCCCUUCCCUUGAAAAAGAAUAACAAUGGUAAGGGAAAAGCAGAACAGUUCCUUAUUUAAUCUUACUUCUCCUUGUCAUGCCCUCUAAAAAGAAAGCAGGAACAAAAAGCAAAUAUAUUUUUUAUUCUAUCUUGCCUCGCGUCUUGCUUCGCAUAAUGCAAUAAAAAGCAGGAAAACCAGAUCGACUUUAACAUUUCCUCUUCACACACACACACACACACACACACACACACACACAGAGGCAACACAACACAGACAGCAACACCGUCAAUAAUAAAAACCGCAAACCUUUCUCUCACUCCUGAUAAAGACGAAGGAAAAAAAAUGAACAACUCGCAUCUUACUUCUUCGCGUCCUGCUCCAUGGUGGGGGCGAGGUGCGGGGGCGGGGGUGGGGCCGACGCGACGCUCAUGCCCACUGCUCACCACACUCGUACCUGACGACUCUGGGUGCAACAAGAUCAACAAGUCACUUCCCGGGGCACGCGACAAGGCAGGCUGAGGCAGGCACGCGGGUCCUCCCUCCACUGGCCGGCGCACUUGACAGGUAGGCAACUGAGGGCGCGGGCGUGAAGGAGCUCGCGACCUGCACUCCGCUCACCUCAAACAAGACACUUGGGAGGCGAGACACAACCCUCGACUGACACCCGUUUCCAUGCCCGGUACCCAUUCAGUGCUGGGUGGACAGGAGGCACGGAUUAAGGGAGACUGCCCAUUUGUCUCCACCUCGCCCGGGAAAAGAACCCGGGACCUCUCAGUUGUGAGGCGGGCGUGCUAAUCUCCGCACUAUAGGGCUGUGUAUGCGUGAGGGGUGGUGCUGAUUAAUAUGCCUGUAGUUAA